rnacentral:rRNA from 1 species
GAUGAACGCUGGCGGCGUGCCUAAUACAUGCAAGUCGAACGAAACUUCUUUAUCACCAAGUGCUUGCACUCACCGAUAAAGAGUUGAGUGGCGAACGGGUUAACAACACGUCAGCCACCCGCCCACAGGAGGGGGAUAACAGUUGACAACAGGUGCUACUACCGCAUAACCAUAAUUACCACAUGGUAACGAUGUAAGAUGUAGCUGUACUACCGCGUUUCGAUGGUGACUCGGCACAUUAGCAAGUUAGUGGGCUAAAAGCUUACGAAAGCAAUCAUGCGUACAGGAAUUGAGAGGUUGAACGGCCACAUUGGCAGUGAGACACGGCCGCAACACCGACGGGAGGCAGCAGUAGAGAAUCUUCCACGAAGGGGGAAAGGGUGAUGGAGCAACGCCGCGUGAGUGAAGAAGGUCUUCGGAUCGGAAAACGCUGUUGUUAGUGAUAAAAGAGAGUGAUGGUAAAUGUGCAGGUAUCGACGGUACCUAACAAGAAAGCCCCGGCUAACUACGUG